rnacentral:lncRNA from 1 species
UGCUCCCUCCCCUUGUGUACACAGAAGAUCCUCAGUCAUAGUUAACAAAAUGGAAAAAAAUUAGCUGUGUUUUUAAGAUUCCAGUGGUGGCCAUCAACUGCUCAGGAAAGCAGCCCAGAAUCACUUCACAACAGGUUUCCAAAGGAUCAUCAUUCAUCAGCACAGAAGGGUGGGAAAGAGAAGGCUGUUCAAAUUCUGAAAAGCCAGAGCUGCAAAGGAGGUCAAAGAUGCAGUGCAGUUGGCCCACUCAGUAGAGUUUCACUAGUGGUUCUGAUGUGGACUGAAGAUUACACGCUGGAUUGAAGUGGCCGGUCUGGAGCAGCUGUAGUUCAUCAUUCUUGCUGAUUGUGGACGAGUAAGAGCCCGCGUUGGCCCCGAUCGGCGAUCGCUGGCCAAAGCCUACCACCAGUUUGGUGAUAGGCGUUGGCUGUGAUAUCUAGUGUCGCCUAUGUGUGAAAAGGACAAGUUGAUAACAAAACCUGUUGCGCCAUGUUAUUAACCUGCGCCCGGGUGGCCCUCAGCCAACUUGGGGGGGGGGGGGGGUGUAUUCGGCCACACUAGGUUAUCUUGGAAUGUAGCAAAGCUGGAAAGACGCAGUAAAAUCAAUCUAUAGAUCGCUAUUUUUCUUCAGAAUCAUACAGGUCAUUUUUUAUCAGGUCAUCGCUGAGGUCACUGGAGGUCACCAAAAGUAAAAUGAUGACGAAUUUUGGCCCCCGAUUUUGACAACUUCACAAAUUGGUUCAUAAUUCGGGAACCAAAGAAGCUACAGCGCCGCGGAAAAGCGAAUUCGAUAGCUCUUUCGAAAAUCUUUCAGGUUCUCAGAUUUGAGCUAAGGUCAACUAGGGUUAAGCCUCCAAAGGGCAAAAACUGAACAAUCGGCUUGCUUCGGAAGUCGUCUUUUCUUUAAAGAAAUUUUAAACUGAUACCAACCUUUUAUUACGUUGAUUUUACCGGCACUGCGUUUCUCUCGUCUUCUUGGCCUAACAAGGUCAGCUUAAUAAAUUUGACCUCAGGUCAAUGUCACAGAAAAUGCCAUUUUGCAUGUCAUUGAUUCGUUACAUUGAAAUUGAGAUUAACAUCAGUAGCGGCGGAACACCUUCAAUCGAGGGGGCAUUGCCGACUUUUGGUCUCAUUCUUUCCAUGCAACGGCCAUAGGGCUAAUGUUAAAAUGCCAAAAUCAAAGGGGGCACGGUGCCCCGGUGCCCUCGGCCUGUUCCGCCGCCUAUGAUUAUGAUGCUUUUAGCGCUCUGGCCACGUUCCAUCUAAAAUCGAUGUACAAAAAUAAACUGUUGGGACUUGGGAGGCGUUACAUGACCUGAGAUGACCUCAGGAGCAUACGAUAGAUCCCGAUGUUUGAGUGCUUUUGUUUCAAAAGCAGAACAUUUCGUCUUUCGAGUUCCUCAUACUGACUGAAACUGGAGACGUCGCAAAGUUGACCUGACCCUAGGUCACCACCGAUAUCAAAAUUAAAGAUAUUCAAGAUGUUGGUACUGAUUCUCUCAUGCAAUAGCUCGAGUUUCAAACUUCUACUUCAUGGUGACCUGACCUGACCUUAGGUGACAUGGGGUUACUUUUUUCACAAUUGAUGCGAAUCGAUGCAUUAUACAUAAGCUAUACUAAGUUUCGUGUCGUUUUAUCUAUGCAAGCAAAAAAUUGUCAGGUGUGGCCAAAAACGCCCCCACGGCCCACCCACCUGGGGAACGUUAAAGCAGUGAUGUAUUUUUUUCGGUGUAUUCCACGAUGCAUCGAUCGGUGUACUUGAUAAUGUAUUAUUUAUUGCUGCGUGUGUACGCUUUUCCUCUGUUCAGUGUGAUCUGUGAUAGGAAAACUACCGAUAUAUCUCCACGCGCAUGACUGAAAGAGCUGGCGUGAUCUAUAAUAUUGGGUGUCUGUUUUUGUUUGGCAUUUUAUAAAUAAUAAGUCAGC